AAAGGCCUGAGUUAGCACUUUGAAAAAGUCAAAGUUUAUCAAUCUCACCAUAUAAAGACCUAUUUUAUGAAGUAACUGAAUUAUAUUUCACCAAUAACACCAGUUUUGUGUUGCGAAAUCGGUUUGUUGUAGGUGGUUUUACCAAUUAGCACACCUCAAAACCUGAUAAAAGAAGCUAAAGGUCUUUGGUUGCAAAGUUAAAUACCCCAGAGAAUCACUGGUCUGCUAAAUUAUCAUCUGUAAAAAGUUGCCCAUCACUGAAAUGCCAGCAAAUGAAACCAAAAAGGUCACACUAAAGACUGUUACCACUGGGAUUUCUCAGAUGCUUUCAAUCUGUGUCAAAUCCAAACUAGUACUGCACAGUGUGGACCUUGUUGUGUGUGUCUGGAGAUCGUUUGCUCGUCUGUAUAGAUUGACUAGAUUUUAUCUGUAAAGAAGUGUACAUUCCAUUGUCAAAUUUCCGACUUGUGCCCCUGCGGCUGUUGACGGAACUUAAUUAAAUUGGAGUCUAUUUUUCUUCGGUUUUU